AAAGAUGCGAUGCAGGGAGAGUGAAUCCAAGUAGAGCCCAGCGGAUUACCUGUGUUGACAAGAUAGAGCUGAAAUUCUGGGGAGACCAAGCAAACUGCAUGAAGAGAUUCUCCUGGCCUUGAAGAAGCAAACAGCCAUGUCAUGAACUGCCUAUGUUUCCAGAAUAUGCUGCUACCUUUCUUCUGAGCCUUCACCAGCAGAAUCCUUCAAGUCCAAUUUCUACCAACAGUCCAUUCAAGGUCACAGAGUACCUGUCAAUUACAGAAUCACCGACUGCAUCAAGAUAGCAAUAAGAAGUUACAAUUUCAGCUAAGUCAUUCAAAAAAUGAUGACCACCAAGAGUACUAUUUUUU